AUGAAUGCACCACUACCACCCUCCACACCACCUUUCCUUAUUAAUACUCAAACCCUUUUCUCCCUCUCAUUCUCCACUUCCCUAAUUCCUAACCUUAAUUUCCUCCAUUCUAACAAAAAAGCUGGUUUCAUUAACCAUUCAAAUACCGUCCGGCAGAUUUUGAAUUUGACUAGGGUUGAAAGAGUUCAUAUUUCUUUAGUGAGUUGUAAAGUGACUUAUAUUUGGACUUGUGAGAAUAUUUAUAGUCAAGAUUGUUUGCUCAGUUGA